CACGAAAUAAUGUGAGCUAAUAAAUGCAAAUUUUUAGAUUGAAAAGUGUAGCAUAACUUUGUAUAGUGUUUAUUAGGGGUGAAAGGCUUAACAAACAUUAAGAUAUCUUGAUGUCACCAAAAUGUAUUUAGUACAAAAACAACUUAAUAGCGAUUAGGAUAUUAAGAAAUAUUUACGUUAGUUUUAUAAUAAUACUUUGUAUAAUAAUUUGUAUAUAUAUAAAUUAAUAUUAAUGUUAAUGUGUUGUUGAAUAUAGGUGAUGGUAAGUAAUGAUUUAACUAUUCAUAAUGUUAUUAUAAGUAGUGUAGUAGCCAUUAUAAAUGAACUUGGCUAAUAUCUUUCAACUGUUUAUCAAAAACAUAGUCAUAUGAAAAGAUAUUUGAUAAUUUCUGCUCAAUGAACUAAAUAGCUGCAGUACCCUGACUGUGCAAAGGUAGCGCAAUCAAUUGACUUUUAAUUGAAGUCCUGUAUGAAAGAAUUAAUGGGGGAUAACUUUAUUAAUAGUGAACAAUGAAUUUAAUAAGUAAGUGCAAAUACUUAUAAGUUAACAAUAGACGAGAAGACCCUGGAAAUUUUAAGAAGUGAUAUUAAAAUCUUUUUGUUGGGGCAACAUGACAACAUUUAACUUGUUUUACAGACGUGUGUAUAAUUUUAAGAAAGAAUAAAUUACUCCAGGGAUAACAGCAUAAUUUAAAUAAAGUUUGUGACCUCGAUGUUGGAUUAGGGAAUUACUGCUUAG
rnacentral:rRNA from 1 species